AAGUCGUAACAAGGUUUCCGUAGGUGAACCUGCGGAAGGAUCAUUAAUUAAAUGUGAUACUUUCAUAUAUAUAAUUAGUCACGUGAGAAUUGAGGGGAAGAUUUAUAUUUUUGAAUUUAUUCAAUUUUAUAAUAUUUACCUAAUAUUUCUCUAAUUGACAUUUUAAAUUUACCUUGAUAAUACUUAUUAAUUUAAGUGUUAUUAAUCUUUUUGGGCUUAAAACACCCAAAAUAAAAUUAUUGUUAAUUUUUAUUUAAAUAAAAUUGCAUUCUUAAUUAUAUUAAUUUAUUAAAAUUAUAUAACAACUAAUAACAAUGGAUCUCUUGGCACU
rnacentral:misc_RNA from 1 species